rnacentral:rRNA from 1 species
GUUAGUUGUAUCUUAAAUGAUUUUUAAGUUGUAAUAGGGUAUUUAAAUUAUUAAUUUUAGAGUAUAGUGUUAGGAAUAAAGGUAUAUUUAUAGAGGAGAUAACAGAGAUGGAGUGGUGAAAUAAGUAAUAAAAGAAAUUUUUAAAAAGUAGUAAUGAAUUUAUGUACCUUUUGUAUUAGGGUUUUAUAAUUAUAGUUUAUAGAUAUAAUUUUCCCGAAAUAUAAAAGAUUUAUUGUGGAGAGUAUGUUAGCAUGGUAUAGCUAUAUCUAACUUUACAAUGUGUAAUGAAAAGUUAUUCGUUUUAUAUGAUAUCUGGUUAUUUGAGAAGUGAAUUUAAUUCAUCUUUGCUUAGAGGAUUUGACUGUUCUUUUGUAAAAAGCUUUACAGCAUCGGCAAGCGGUUGGGGGAUUAUCUCCAGUUGUUGGAUUUAAGAGUUAGAUUUUAUCUAUAAUUAAUUUAGGAUUAGAAGCUUCCAGAAUUAAUAAUAGCGUUUUAGCUUAUAGUUGAAUUAUAUGUAAUUUAGUUUGUUUUUAAAUUUUGUAUCAAAUUAUUGGUUGUAAUAGUUAAUUGUCAGGUAAUAAUGUAAGAAUUAGUAUAUAAUUAAAAUAUAGUAAAAUUUAAAUGUAUGGUUAAUUUUAAAAAGGAAUUCGGCAAAAUUUUUCUUCGCCUGUUUAUCAAAAACAUGGCUUUUUGGUUUAAUAAAAGGUCUUACCUGCCCACUGAGGUUUUGAAGGGCCGCGGUAUUUUGACCGUGCAAAGGUAGCAUAAUAAUUUGUCUUUUAAUUGAAGGCUGGAAUGAAGGGUGUUACGAAAGAAAAACUGUCUCUUUUAAAGGUUUAUAAUUUAACUUUUAGGUGAAAAGGCCUAGUAAUCGUUAAAAUAGUUCCGGAGGACAAAAAGACCCUAUAGAUCUUAACAUAUAAAGAUGUCUUAAUUUUAGUAGUGUUAAUUUAGGAUAAGUUGAUAUGUUUUGUUGGGGCGACAUAAAGAAAUAUUUAUCUCUUUAAUAGUGCGGUAUAAUAAUAUUUAAAUCAUAAAUAAGUUGAUCCAAAAUAUUUUGAUUAGUAGACUAAGUUACCUUAGGGAUAACAGCGUAAUCUUUUUUGAGAGUUCAUAUCGACAAGGAGGGUUGCGACCUCGAUGUUGGAUUAAGGUUCCCUAAGAAUUGGUGCAGCAGUUAUUUAGGAGGGUCUGUUCGACCUUUAAAUUCUUACAUGAUCUGAGUUCAAAUCGGCGUGAGCCAGGUUGGUUUAUAUCCUCGGAAAUAAUAAUAUUCUUUUAGUACGAAAGGACCAUAGGGUAAAAAUAUUUUUGUUAAGGUGAAUAAAUUUA